CUACCCAAGCGUCUGGAAUAACCGGCCGAAAGGCUGGCUAAUACUGGAUAGAGCGACGGGAUCCGUAAUCGGAUCUUUCGGGAAAGGGAGGCCGUAAGGCCCCUCGCAUUUGGAUGAGCCUGCGUCUCAUUAGCUAGUUGGUGGGGUAACGGCCCACCAAGGCAUUGAUGAGUAGCUGGUCUGAGAGGAUGAUCAGCCACACUGGAACUGAAACACGGUCCAG
rnacentral:rRNA from 1 species